rnacentral:lncRNA from 1 species
AACGCAUUGAGUAUCCCCAAAAUUAUUCCGAGAUAGUGAUUGUGCGAAAAUAGUUAUGUGUACGGUAAAAAACAUUCGUUCUAAAAAUAAUUAGAGCUUGAUAAUAAACAUACAAAAAAAAUAAUAUAUUUAUAAGAAAAUACUUGACAUAGUAAUAAAUUAUAAAUAGCCAUCUACUAAUUCAAUAAAGAAAUAAUAGACCCA